AAAAGCGCCAACACUGUCCACUAAAUUUUCAAGUCUUUUCUUUCACUCUAUUCAAAGAACCCUAAGCCCCAAAUUGCAACAUAAGGAUGGACAAACUCUAUGCUACCACUGCCUUACUAUUCAAAGAAUCUUAUGCCCCAAAUUGCAACAUAUGAAUGGCACAAACUCUCUGCUACCACUGUCUUGCUAUCCUCCCUCUCCAAUUGGAAACUUAUUUGCGUCUGCUUGGAGGAAACAGAAGCCUAAAUUGGAUGUCUCUCUUGGAAAUGGUGAUAAAAUGCCUAGUAAUUUUUUUGUGUUAUGUUAUAUUAUUUUGUUCAUAUUAUUGUUUUAGCUUGAGAAAUAGGAGUAAUUUCUCAAAAAAUCUAUGUGAUUUUUUCCCAUCUUUCCAAGAAUUGAUAAGCGUUACCCGGUUCCUAUACUGGUGGAAGAUAACAGUAUCCGAUGGAAUAGUCGAGUUGCACGCAAAAUGGCCCGGCACCACUGUCAUAAAAAAAUAGAGUACUUUGUCUUUCAUAGUCUUAUAAUUUGAUGAAAUAAGGCUAAUUUAAGAGAAAUGCAUAGUGAGGAACUAGCUUUUUUUUGGUGUGGUUUGUCUUUUGUUCAGGUGGAAAAGGUUAAGAUGUCAUAAGUAAAAUUUUGGGGAAUUUUACCUGUGCUUAUGACUUUUGAGUAGGUCUACAGUUGAAAUGUCUGGUUAAUUUGGAAGUUUAGGUGCUUAGUGGCUUUGACUUGAGAGAUCAUUUUACUGUUUGCCCUUUUUAUUCAUAUCUGUGAUUGAGUUAGUUAUGGGAUGUGUUCUUGGAGUUAAAUUGGACUACUUUCUACUGAUAUCCGCUAUAGGUAUUUGAAAAUCUUACUCAACUCCAAUCUCUAGCUCCCUGUGGAAAUCGAUCCCGACAUUCUCGUGUAAAAGCUGCUUCGACCUUUCUUGCUACUUAUUAGUAGUACAGGGUUGGCCUAGAUCAGUCAUCUCCUUGUUGUGGUGACUUAGUUUAUAUUUUUGUGCUCUAGUUUGGCUUAUGUAUUUUCCGAACAAAACAUCUAAAACAAGUGCCGCUGUCUUAGCAGAGGAAA